UGUUGUGGUGGUUGCUGUGUGUGGCAGCUCUGUAAGUGUAUCAGAGCUGUGUCAGAGCUACCACAGAGAUGACAAAGGAGAGGGCUGUGCUGAGAACUUUCAAGCUUGGAAUUUUCAGCUCUGUCCAGCUCCUACAGGA
ensembl:snoRNA